rnacentral:lncRNA from 1 species
GAUUCUAAUGUUAUGAAUGGUUUUUAAACUUAUUAUAUUAUUAUCAAGUUUAUUAUAUGACCUAGUAUCUAAGUGUGCUAAAAGGGACAAACACAAUGCACUGAUAUCCUCGAGAGGUAUCUAGUAAUGAUUCUAAUGUUUUAAAAUUCCAUAAAUGUUUAGACUCUUUAAUUAAUUUUAUGAGAGUAAGAACUUUGUAAAUUAUAAAGAGAGCAAAUUAUAUUCUAUUUUUCAGAUGCAAAGAGGAAAAAAUAUGGCUAAAACUAUGAAGUUUCUUUAUGUUCUAAUUUUAUUUAGUUCCAUGUUUCUUGUUAUAAGAGUAUCUGAUUCUAUUCCUUACGUUAAUAUUGGUCCUUGUGUAAAAGAUAAAGAUCGUCGAAAAGUUCCACAAUAUAAUAUUAAGUGUCGUAAUGGAGAAUGUGUAAGGAUCCGAUCUUGAGAUGAAUGAGUCCUUGCACCAGAAAAAAUAAUUGUACGAUAUAUGCUAGAAUAUUUCAUGAGCUGUAUGAUUUAGUUUGUCUACAUGCACCAAAUAAAUUGUAUUUUUUUUUUAUCUUUGUUUUCCCCUUAAUUUCAUGUAUUUUGAAGUUAUGAUUUUAUACUAUAAGAUGAUGGCAAUGAAAUUGAUUAAGGUAGCUGAGAGUUAAAUUUAUAAUAUCUCCUUAUCUUGUAAAUUUAGAAGUAUAACCAUGGUCUGUUGAUGGCAAUUUUCGAAAGUGUACGAACUCAAGGAUUUCUUUUACCGUCAAAAAUGGAUUAAUUCCAACCACACCUCUCAGAAUUCAAAUUCAUUACACUUUCUAAUUCCAUAAUGUAACAAUAGAAAUGUAUAGUUAUUAAUUAAUUCUAAGUUUUAAAGAAAAGAAAUAAAUAGAUCUCACGUUUCUUCUUUUUAA